rnacentral:rRNA from 1 species
AUUGAACGCUGGCGGUAUGCCUUACACAUGCAAGUCGAACGGCAGCACGGGGGCAACCCUGGUGGCGAGUGGCGAACGGGUGAGUAAUGCAUCGGAACGUGCCCAGUAGUGGGGGAUAGCUCGGCGAAAGCCGAAUUAAUACCGCAUACGUACUGAGGUAGAAAGCGGGGGAUCCGCGAGGACCUCGCGCUAUUGGAGCGGCCGAUGUCGGAUUAGCUUGUUGGUGGGGUAAAGGCCUACCAAGGCGACGAUCCGUAACUGGUCUGAGAGGACGACCAGUCACACUGGGACUGAGACACGGCCCAGACUCCUACGGGAGGCAGCAGUGGGGAAUUUUGGACAAUGGGCGAAAGCCUGAUCCAGCAAUGCCGCGUGUGUGAAGAAGGCCUUCGGGUUGUAAAGCACUUUUGUCCGGAAAGAAAUCCGCCUGGCCAAUACCCGGGCGGGAUGACGGUACCGGAAGAAUAAGCACCGGCUAACUACGUG